GUGGUACUCAAAUGUGGAAGCACUCUUCAGGGUAACUUGGUGAAAAGUGCUACAAUAUUUGGGUGCUGC
rfam:Canis lupus familiaris chromosome 1, whole genome shotgun sequence.